rnacentral:rRNA from 1 species
CAGUCGCCGCGGUAAUACGUAGGGUGCAAGCGUUAAUCGGAAUUACUGGGCGUAAAGCGUGCGCAGGCGGUUUUUUAAGUCUGAUGUGAAAUCCCCGGGCUCAACCUGGGAACUGCAUUGGAGACUGUAAGGCUAGAGUGUGUCAGAGGGGGGUAGAAUUCCACGUGUAGCAGUGAAAUGCGUAGAUAUGUGGAGGAAUACCGAUGGCGAAGGCAGCCCCCUGGGAUAACACUGACGCUCAUGCACGAAAGCGUGGGGAGCAAACAGGAUUAGAUACCCGGGUAGUCCCUGUCUCUUAUAC